AAAACAUGGUUUAAAACUCGUUCGGCGAAUCCGUAUGAAUCUCGUUUUUGGUGCAAGAGUAUAGAUUAACUCUACUAUCUGUGUUAUCACCACAUGCAAGUAAUAAAUGAUGCGGGUGAAACUUCAGGCACAUUAAACUGGAUGGUUUAGGCUGAUUAAGGAACCGUGGAUUUUCACGGAAGGUAUUAAUAUUCUGGCCUAACGUGUCCCAAAUUUUUAUGCUUUGAUUUGAGGAACCGGUUGCAUAAACUGGGGCGUGACUAUGCACAGUUAAAGAGGUGAGUCCAGAGUUGUCUGUUGAAAAAGUCUGUAAAGAAUGAUUCAUCCUAAUAUCCCAUAGCUUAACUUCACCAUCUGAACUCGCCGAAAUCAAUUCUCGCAUUCCGGAGGAUUGCAUUUCAACAUUGACGAUCUCGGACGAAUGUUCUUUCCAAACAUCCGUUAGUGAAUCUCUUGCAGGCAAUCGUUUGUCGUAAACACGAAGAACUCCAUCUGAAAAUCCAGCAACUAUAAUAUUACAACCGACCAAAUCGCUAGUUAAACUUGUAAUACUAUUACUGCUUCUUACUGGUAGGUUUGCAUAGCAGAUUUCUUUAGAAGCAUCCCAUAUUCGAAUAACGCGUACGUCUCCAGCAACAAGCAAGUGCCCACAGUUCUGUUGCCAACUCAUUAAAAGGCUAGCAUUUCGAUCUCCAAAGACAAGAUCACUUAGAGAAUUCCACGAAGUUACCAGUUCAACCUUUUCAUUUUCGUAGUCACGAUACAGUUUAAUUGUGCCAUCAGAAGACCCAGUCAUCAAUAAAGCAACAUCAUCUUCAUUUAGUAAUUGCAUGUCGGUCACGUUAGUUGUCGCACUUGCUGAAGUUUUGAAAGAAUUGAGGCAACGAUUGCGACGCCAGUCCCAUACCUGAAUGAUAUCUUUGUCACCUAA